ACAAAACAACAUUGAGGUUAUUCCAUCGAAUUUCAAGUCCAGUGCCUCUAUGGAAGGAUAAAGGUUAUUUCCGAGUGGAAUUAAAGUCUAUUGGCUAAAGCUAGUUUCAUUAUGGGCAAUAUUGGUAUAUCCGUAUUGAUACAUCUGAGAAAGACAGCUAGCUAACAUUUGCUCUACCAUGGCAUGCACUAGCUACUACUUUCCUAGUUCGAUUGCCGUCUUCUAUUCAUUUUAAGGCAACAAGACCUACGAGCAGUGAAACCAACAGCAUGAAAGAACCCUCAGCAGCAUUCUGGACCACAGCAGUUUGAGAUGAUGAGGAUAUGUUGGAUUCUAGUUUUUCUCCUCGAUUUAUGUUUGAUUAUCAAGCGCACAGCGACUGACUCUCUCGAGCAACCUUCAACGCUUUGCGUCUCCCAAGGUUUAGCAUCCAGCCCAUCUGACUCUCCAGGAUGCUGCUUUACUCAGAAUGAGAUAAAGUGUCAAUGCAUUCUUUCCCCUGACCUUAAUCUGUGUGGAUGCUUAACUUACAAAUGGGUUCAAGGAUCUGAAUCAUUUACUUGUGAUAAUACUGAUAUGGUUAAAUGCGAGUGGUUCGAUGGGAACAUAACCUACUGGAUGAUCAAACCAAAAAUUGACAGUUCAAACUGGAUUAGGGCAGGCCCAUAUUGUGCAGAAAAUAAAUACAAUCCCUGUACAUGUAUAUCAAAUAAUACGAUUCCAAAUGAAUAUGACUGCAAUCCACAAAGUCCUGCCUACAGUCAACCAGAUACCACCAGAUGUCCACCUACUACUCUCCCAUGUCCCACCACCCCUAACAACCCUUUCACUUUGACCAUCUGUACCACACUUACCACCGUCACCACCCCUACCACCCUCACCACCCCUACCACCCUCACCACCCCUACCACCCUCACC